UGGGGGAUAUUGCACAAUGGGCGAAAGCCUGAUGCAGCGACGCCGCGUGGGGGAUGAAGGCCUUCGGGUUGUAAACUUCUUUUGCUCUGAACAAGGUAUGCUAAUGGGUGUGUUGAGUGUAGGGGUUGAUUAGCGCCGGCUAACGCCGUGCCAGCAGCCGCGGUAAUACGUAGGGCGCGAGCGUUGUCCGGAAUUAUUGGGCGUAAAGGGCUUGUAGGUGGCUGGUUGCGUCUGUCGUGAAAGCUCAUGGCUUAACUGUGGGUUUGCGGUGGGUACGGGCUGGCUUGAGUGCAGUAGGGGAGGCUGGAAUUCCUGGUGUAGCGGUGGAAUGCGCAGAUAUCAGGAGGAAUACCGGUGGCGAAGGCGGGUCUCUGGGCUGUUACUGACACUGAGGAGCGAAAGCAUGGGGAGCGAACAGG
rnacentral:rRNA from 1 species